UACGAAGGGUGCAAACGUUGCUCGGAAUUAUUGGGCGUAAAGCGCACGUAGGCGGCUAUCUAAGUCGGAUGUGAAAUCCCUCGGCUCAACCAAGGAAGUGCACCCGAAACUGGAUAGCUUGAGUACAGAAGAGGAUCGCGGAAUUCCCGGUGUAGAGGUGAAAUUCGUAGAUAUCGGGAGGAACACCAGUGGCGAAGGCGGCGAUCUGGGCUGAUACUGACGCUGAGGUGCGAAAGCGUGGGGAGCAAACAGG
rnacentral:rRNA from 1 species